rnacentral:lncRNA from 1 species
GCUUUAUUAAAUAAUUUUGUGAGCAUAAAAAUAUAGGAAAAUAAAUAAAUUUUGGGAAAUUAAAAUUUAAUAGAAAAUUAGAAACACGUUGUUGCAUACAUGCUGGUGCACUUCUUUUAUGUGAUGAGUGGUUUGAAAAAGUUAUUUGAAUUCAAAAUUUCAUUUGGAAAUUUUGUUUGGAAAAUAAAAAAAAAGAAAAGCUUUUCUCUCUUCCCCCUCCUUUUCGGCCUUGUGGCCCAGCAACCCGCGCGCCCCCUUUCUCCUUCUUGGGCCUGGCCCAGCCGAUCCCCUCCCUUCCCCCUCUUUUUCUCUGGCGGCUGACGGGUGGGGCCCACCCGUUAGGACCACCCCCUUCCUCCAACCGCCCCGCCCCCGAGUCUCUCUCGGUUGGAAACCUCCCAGGCCGAAGCCUCCGGGCCCACGAUCCCCUCCUUCCUCCGCGCUUC